UUUCUCGCUGGCGGAAAAGUCCGACCGAUGUAAAGAGCGGGAAGCGGGAGCGCGCGAGCGCGACCCCGGAGCCGGCGGCGGUUGUUUGGUUUCAUUUAAAAAAAACUGACGGCAAAACAAGACUGAGGAGAGCAGCAACGCCCGUUAGCCCGCCUCCACCGACUGUCAAUCAAUCGAAUCAGGACAAGGCAGCACACAAAUAUGAGGAGAGGACCAAAACUGGAGAAGACACUCAUGAUGUCCAUGCCUUCACUACAUACAAGGAAGAUGCAUUCCAACUAGCAGGUAAGGACCAAGACUGGUCCUCACCAACAGAAACAUCAGCAUGAGAGAAUCCAGUGGCCAACAUUGCCGUGUACUCUUUUCAAACAUGCUGCCACUCUCGGUCUUUCCUUGAAAGAAGGGAAAGCUUUACUAGUACCUUUGAAUGGAGUCUACAGCAAUUGUAUACCAUACAAGAUAUUGUAUCACAAAGGAGGACUGAAAUAGAGAGCAAGACAGCUUUGAAAAAAAAGAUCACAUGUGACAAUAUGUCAAAGAUUCCACAUGAUAACACAAGACAUGGUGGAAAUUUCCAUACUGCAUCCAUCCUUUAGAAUUCAGCUCUUCCUAUGCAUUUCAAAGAAGAAAAUCAUGUCCCUGACUCCUGAGAAGCCUUAUCUCCUGCUCAAUUUGGACUUCACGAAGUAGGAUGACCAUACAUCCCACUUUAAAAAGUCCUAUUGGAGGUAACACUGAUGUCCCAGCUUGUUCUUUUAAAGUAGCAAGUUGUCCCAUAUUUUCUGCAUCCUUAUGUCAAAUUGUGUGUUGGAACAACCAAGGUCACCAAAUGGUUUCAUCAAGGGUAGGUCAUGUCUCACAAACCUCACUGAGCUUUUUGAGAAGGUGACUAUGUGGAUGAAGGUAGGGCAGUUGACUUCAGUAAGGCCUUUGAUAAGGUUCCACAUGGUAGGCUGUUGGAGAAAAUGCAGAAACAUGGGAUUGAUGGUGAUUUAGCAGGUUGGAUUAGAAACUGGCUUUCUGUGAGAAGGCAGCAAGUGGUGGUUGAUGGAAAAUAUUCAGCCUGGAGUCCGGUUACUAGUGGUGUGCCACAAGGAUCUGUUUUGGGACCACUGCUGUUUGUCAUUUUUAUAAAUGACUUAGACCCAAGCAUAGGUGAAUGGGUUAGUAAGUUUGCAGAUGACACUAAAGUCAGUGGAGUAGUGGACAGUGUGGAAGAAUGUUACAGGUUGCAGGGGGACUUGGAUAAACUGCAGAAUUGGGCUGAGAGGUGGCAAGUGGAGUUCAAUGCAGAUAAAUAUGAGGUGAUUCACUUUGGGAAGAAUUACAGGAAGGCAGAAUACUAGGUCAAUGGAAAGAUUCUUGGUAGUGUGGAUAUGCAGAAGGAUCUUGGAGUCCAUGGCCAUAGAUCCCUGAAAGUUGCUACUCAAGUUGAUAAUGCUGUUAAGAAAGCAUACGGUGUGUUGGGUUUUGUUGGUAGAGGGAUUGAGUUCCGGAGCCUCAAUAUCAUGCUACAACUGUACAAAAUGCUGGUGCGGCCGCACUUGGAAUAUUGUGUACAGUUCUGGUCGCCAUAUUUUGGGAAAGAUGUGGAAGCAUUGGAAAAAAUUCAGAGGAGAUUUACCAGGAUGUUGCCUGGUCUGGAGGGAAGGUCUUAUAAGGAACGCUGACAGACUUGGAUCUGUUCUCAUUGAAAAGAAGAAGGCUAAGAAGGGUAUUGAUAGAGACAUACAAGACGAUCAGAGGGUAGACAGUGAAAGUCUUUUUCCUCGGAUGAUGAUGCCAGCUUGUACAAGGGGGCAUAGCUACAAUUUGAGGGGUGAUAGAUAUAACACAGAUGUCAGAGGCAGGUUCUUUACUCAGAAUAACGGGAAGGCAGAAUACUGGAAUGCCCUACCUGCCAAUGUAGUUAACCGAGCCACAUUAGGGAGAUUUAAACAAUUCUUGAUAAAUAUAUGGAUGAUGAUGGGAUAGUGUAAGGAGAUGGGCUUAGAUUAGUUCACAGGUCAGCGCAACAUCGAGGGCUGAAGAGCCUGUUCUGCACUAUAUUGUUCUAUGUUCUAUGUUCUUGAAACAAAUCUAAAGGUACAUGUGGGGUAAUGUUAUAUUAUUUUUAUUUUAUUCCAAAAUGAAGACAAAUUCUAUGAAAAAGAUACACCAACUUUGGCUAACUCAAGGAAUUAAGGAUGGUAUCAAUGUGAAUGAAAAGGUAUGCAAUGCUGUGAAAACUGGGAAAAGUUCACAAAAUAGGAAAAGUUGAUGAAUCAUCUCCUGUUGUUUAUCUCCCAGUCUUGCUCUGAUAAAACAAAGAAAUGCAGAUUCUGGAGAUCUGAAACAAGUAUAAAGUGCUGGAGAAACUGUCAGUCUGGCAACAUCUUUGAUACAUUUUGAGGUUAGCAGAUCCUGAUGAAGGGUCACUGGACUCAAAACAUUAAUUGCUUCUCUCGCCACAUCUCUCCACAGAUGCUGCCACAUAAAUUCAGUUUCUGCAGCACACACUAUUCUUGUUUCAGAUCCUUAUCUUUAUGUUCA